UGCACCUAGCCAUGGGAAGACGAGCUAGAAUCCCAUCACUGAAAGCUCAAAUGACACUGGAAAACACAUCAAACAGUAUCAAUCAGCGUGUAAUGAAAGUAAAUCAACAAUCGAAGGCCGUGACGGAAAAGAGGGUUAAUACCUCCCCCUGACUCUAAUGUAACAGUAACUCCUAGUUCUGCAGGAGCGAAUGGAACCCUAAGUGGGAUUGGUACAGCUGGAACGAUUGCAAGCUCGAGUACUAUAGUUGAAGCCGUAGUGAUGGAAAAGAAGAUCGAUAAAGACCAGGAUGAUACAACCAAAACUCUGAGUUGGUGCUCUGAAAUUGUACAGGCACCUAGCGGCAGUGGGAAGAAUUCAUCAAGCAGCAGUGGGAGAAGAGGUGGGCGGAUGAGGUCGAAGAGGAAUUAAUCAUGCCAUCACCUAAGAGUUCUAUAUGGGAUAAUUUUGACAUAAUUAAUAUCAGUAUAGCAGGAUUUAAGCUGGAGUACAUUUCCCCUGAAAUUCAUGAAAACAAGUUAGGGUUUUGAUAGAAGAGAAAAGAGGAGAAAAGGAAGGAAGAACGUUCAAGAUCGUCGAAGUUCAGCUUGUGGAAUUCGUCGUGGUUGAUCCUUAAAAAGGUGUCUUUAAACUGCUAUACAAUGAAAUGAGUUAGUUAUUCAUGAGUUGAGCAGAGUCAAGACGCAAGUAACUAGGAUAGGCAUUUGGCACACCGUUGAUCCAGCAAGCAGCUCAGAGUUAGUUGGUGAAGAAGUCGAAGCUGAUUUGGGAGAAGAGGAGUGAGAAGUAACACCUACUAGUCCGGUGACAGAAGUUCCAAAUAGGAUUAUCAAUUUAACGAAGCAAAAUUGUUGACAUCUACCCCUUAUGCCUCCCACAAGGAAGAAGGUGAAGUGUCAAUGCCCUAAAACAUCUAUUGUAUGACAAUUUAUGACUUUCGAUAAAGAAAAUAGUGUUGCUAUUUGUAAUAAGUGUAAGCAACCUUUUAAACAUAAACAAGGUGGGGUCAAGGUGGGAUGGGGGGAUUAAAUAGACAUUUGUUAUCUUGUGUGUCGAUUCAAUAUAAAGAAUCUAAAGCAUUAGCCAAUAGAAAAAAAGGAAUUCCAAUUAAUGAAUUUGAUAUUAUCGGUAAUGCAUCGGUAGGGGCUUCUAACAUGGUUCAAGGAACAUUAGAUCCUUCUAACCCCGUUUGUCCAAUAACACAAUGUAGAUAUAAUAAGGAAUUAGAUCGCGAAAUUUAGCUAAAAUGGUUUCUGUUUGUGGUUUGCCUUAUAGUUUUCCUUCAAAUUUUGGUUUUAUUGAAUAUAUUCAACAAACUUAUAAUCCAGAUUAUAGAGGUUUUUCAAGAAAUAUUGUUAAAUAUAAUAUUUUUAAAUUUCAAGGUAACAUUGUCAAUUUCAUCGUUGUAUAUU